rfam:Picea glauca, whole genome shotgun sequence.
CAAAAUUUAUAUAGGGAUGACGUCACACCCUUUAAUCUUUGUUUAUCUUUGCAACGUUGUGACAUUGGGCAGCUCCUUUGAUAGACAUUGAGUUAAUAAUUGCAUCCACAAGCUUAUUGAGGAAAACGUUUCACUCUUUGUCAUCAUUUUGACCUAUUGAUUUAAGCUGAUGUCAUACCUAUUGCAACAGAAUUUAUAUAGGUGACGCAGCAACAUUAUGUAUGUGAGAUGAAAUGGAAUUGCAUUAAUGAUAUGAUACAAGGUUUAAUUGUGAACAUUGAGUGCUCUUUAUCUCUUAUGCUUUGUUGAAGAAGUAAUAUAAAUCUUUGUCUCUUUUUAGCCAUCAUUGACUUCGUCAAUAAUAGCAUUAAUCAUUUGCUCAUAUAUGUAUUGAAGGAUAGUCAUUGAUUUUAUGAAGUACUAACCCACUGCAAGAACAUAUUCUAGUUUUCUCUGUCUUGUCUCGCAAACAGGUGCAUCAUCGGUGGAUCUUUCUCCUUGACUAUCUCAUACUUGGCUGCAAUCUGUGAAAGGGAACCUUUUAUCUUGAUCCAUUAUCCUUAGCCCUCCUUGAACCCAGAUUGCAUAGGGACGUCUCCCUUGGACUAGCCCUCCUAAAUAGAAAGAGCCCCCCAUCGAGGUGACAGUGGGUGGGGAUGCUCCUGUUACGCCUGUUUUAUGCCCUGACUCAAGCUAUCUAAACCCUUCCUACAAACUGUGCGAUAACAGGUCCUAAGGUAGCGAAAUUCAUUGUCGAGUAAUUUUCGACCUGCACAAAAGGCGUAACGAUCUGGGCACUGUCUCGGAGAGAGACUCAGUGAAAUAUACAUGUAUGUGAAGAUGCAGACUACCUACACCUAGACAGAAAGACCCUAUGAAGCUUUACUGUUACCUGGGAUUGUCUUUGGGUUCUUCUUGAGAAGAUUAGGUGGAAUGCAAAGGAGGCUCCCUUCCGGGGGGGCCUAAGCCACCGGUGAGAUACCACUCUAGAAGAGCUAGAAUUAUAACCUUGUGUCAAGACCUAUGGGCCAAGGGACAGUCUCAGGUAGAUAGUUUCUAUGGGGCGUAGGCCUCCCAAAAGGUAACGGAGGCGUGUAAAGUUUUCCUCCGGCCAGACGGAAAUCAACCCUCGAUUGCAAAGGUAGAAGGGAGCUUGACCGCAAGACCCACCCAUCGAGUAGGGACGAAAUUCGACCUUAGUGAUUCGAUGGUGCCGAGUGGAAGGGUCGUCGCUCAAUGGAUAAAAGUUACUCUAGGGAUAACAGGCUGAUCUUCCCCAAAAGUUCACAUCGAUGGGAAGGUUUGGCACCUCGAUGUCUACUCUUUGCCACCUGGGGCAGUAGUACGUUCCAAGGGUUGGGUUGUUCGCCCAUUAAAGUGGUACGUGAGAUGGGUUCAAAACAUCGUGAGACAUUUCGGUCCAUAUCUGGCUCGGGCGUUAGAGAAUUAAGAGGACCUUUCCCUAGUACGAGAGGAUCGGGAAAGAUGCACCUCUAGUGUAAUGUGAGAAGCAGUUGGUGAUCUUAUCAGUGAUCCUUCAGGUCAAUGUCAGACACAUUCAUAGUUCCAAUGAGCCUCUUCUCUUUUGGCUCAAGUUUCAGAGACUCAUGAUCCAGAGACAUUUUCAAAAGCUUCAGGUCAUCCAGAUUGGGAUA